CGGCGGACGGGUGAGUAACACGUGGAUAACCUACCUAUAAGACUGGGAUAACUUCGGGAAACCGGAGCUAAUACCGGAUAAUAUAUCGAACCGCAUGGUUCAAUAGUGAAAGACGGUUUUGCUGUCACUUAUAGAUGGAUCCGCGCCGCAUUAGCUAGUUGGUAAGGUAACGGCUUACCAAGGCAACGAUGCGUAGCCGACCUGAGAGGGUGAUCGGCCACACUGGAACUGAGACACGGUCCAG
rnacentral:rRNA from 1 species